rnacentral:rRNA from 1 species
UACGUAGGGUGCAAGCGUUGUCCGGAAUUAUUGGGCGUAAAGAGCUCGUAGGCGGUCUGUCGCGUCUGCUGUGAAAACCUAGGGCUUAACUCUGGGCGUGCAGUGGGUACGGGCAGGCUAGAGUGCGGUAGGGGAGACUGGAAUUCCUGGUGUAGCGGUGAAAUGCGCAGAUAUCAGGAGGAACACCGGUGGCGAAGGCGGGUCUCGUGGGCCGUAACUGACGCUGAGGAGCGAAAGCAUGGGGAGCGAACAGG